CACCUUAUGGAGAGAACUUCAGAUCUCUGCCAUUUAGGCUUGUGAGUUGUAAAUAGAAGAAAUCAAGGAAGUAACAGAGGGAAAACUAACUGAGAGAGGAAGGGAGUCAUGGCGCUGUGAAUCAAGGCAAGAAUGUUCCGUUGUCCAGAUCCCGACACAAGUCAUAACAGCACAAUUUGAACAAGCUGUUUUUGUAGACUGGAUGCAAAAACUAUGACUCACAGCCAUGAGGUCCAAGGAAACACAGAAGGAAUGAUGUCCACAUGGAUUCUAAGACUGAGGUCAACUCCACCUGCUGUUUCGGGGCUGCAGAGCACUGCUGGGGCAAACACAGCAAUCGUGCUGAGUUUCAUCUUGGACUCACAUAGUCCACCUUCAGUUGGAGCCUCUAUUACCCUCCUAUAUAUAUUUUAUGUUUUCUUACUUAACUUGGUACCCUAUACUCCACAACAGUGUCUCAGAAAUUUCUUCCAGAGCAUCAGUUAUCUCAUUGCUAAAAUGGGGAUAAUCAUAGCAUUUACCUGAACAGGUUGUUCUGAAUAUUAAAUAAAACAAUGGACAUAAGGUUAUUUUCUAUUCAUCUCAGAGUCACAAAACACUUUUAAGUGCUAAUUAUAUGCAUUAUUGUGAGAGGCACUGGGAUUUUGAAAAAUUAAUAAAACUUAGUCUUUUUCAUCACACAGGGAGAAAGAGGUAUGGAAUGCUUUAAAGUUGACACAGCACUUUGACAC